UUGCUUUGAAAGCACAUGUACUAAAACUAGAACAAUACAGAGAAAAUUGGCACGACUCCUAGACAUAUAGAUGACACAUGAAUUUAUAAAGCAUUCCAUAUGUUU
rfam:Pteropus alecto contig85148, whole genome shotgun sequence.